rnacentral:rRNA from 1 species
AGAGUUUGAUCAUGGCUCAGAUUGAACGCUGGCGGCAGGCCUAACACAUGCAAGUCGAGCGGUAGCACAGAGAGCUUGCUCUCGGGUGACGAGCGGCGGACGGGUGAGUAAUGUCUGGGAAACUGCCUGAUGGAGGGGGAUAACUACUGGAAACGGUAGCUAAUACCGCAUAACGUCGCAAGACCAAAGUGGGGGACCUUCGGGCCUCAUGCCAUCAGAUGUGCCCAGAUGGGAUUAGCUAGUAGGUGGGGUAACGGCUCACCUAGGCGACGAUCCCUAGCUGGUCUGAGAGGAUGACCAGCCACACUGGAACUGAGACACGGUCCAGACUCCUACGGGAGGCAGCAGUGGGGAAUAUUGCACAAUGGGCGCAAGCCUGAUGCAGCCAUGCCGCGUGUGUGAAGAAGGCCUUCGGGUUGUAAAGCACUUUCAGCGGGGAGGAAGGCGGUGAGGUUAAUAACCUCAUCGAUUGACGUUACCCGCAGAAGAAGCACCGGCUAACUCCGCGCCAGCAGCCGCGGUAAUACGGAGGGUGCAAGCGUUAAUCGGAAUUACUGGGCGUAAAGCUCACGCAGGCGGUCUGUCAAGUCGGAUGUGAAAUCCCCGGGCUCAACCUGGGAACUGCAUUCGAAACUGGCAGGCUAGAGUCUUGUAGAGGGGGGUAGAAUUCCAGGUGUAGCGGUGAAAUGCGUAGAGAUCUGGAGGAAUACCGGUGGCGAAGGCGGCCCCCUGGACAAAGACUGACGCUCAGGUGCGAAAGCGUGGGGAGCAAACAGGAUUAGAUACCCUGGUAGUCCACGCCGUAAACGAUGUCGAUUUGGAGGUUGUGCCCUUGAGGCGUGGCUUCCGGAGCUAACGCGUUAAAUCGACCGCCUGGGGAGUACGGCCGCAAGGUUAAAACUCAAAUGAAUUGACGGGGGCCCGCACAAGCGGUGGAGCAUGUGGUUUAAUUCGAUGCAACGCGAAGAACCUUACCUGGUCUUGACAUCCACAGAACUUAGCAGAGAUGCUUUGGUGCCUUCGGGAACUGUGAGACAGGUGCUGCAUGGCUGUCGUCAGCUCGUGUUGUGAAAUGUUGGGUUAAGUCCCGCAACGAGCGCAACCCUUAUCCUUUGUUGCCAGCGGUUAGGCCGGGAACUCAAAGGAGACUGCCAGUGAUAAACUGGAGGAAGGUGGGGAUGACGUCAAGUCAUCAUGGCCCUUACGACCAGGGCUACACACGUGCUACAAUGGCAUAUACAAAGAGAAGCGACCUCGCGAGAGCAAGCGGACCUCAUAAAGUAUGUCGUAGUCCGGAUUGGAGUCUGCAACUCGACUCCAUGAAGUCGGAAUCGCUAGUAAUCGUAGAUCAGAAUGCUACGGUGAAUACGUUCC